rnacentral:rRNA from 1 species
UGGGGAAUAUUGCACAAUGGGGGAAACCCUGAUGCAGCAACGCCGCGUGAGUGAUGACGGCCUUCGGGUUGUAAAGCUCUGUCUUCAGGGACGAUAAUGACGGUACCUGAGGAGGAAGCCACGGCUAACUACGUGCCAGCAGCCGCGGUAAUACGUAGGUGGCAAGCGUUGUCCGGAUUUACUGGGCGUAAAGGGAGCGUAGGCGGACUUUUAAGUGAGAUGUGAAAUACCCGGGCUCAACCUGGGUGCUGCAUUUCAAACUGGAAGUCUAGAGUGCAGGAGAGGACAGUGGAAUUCCUAGUGUCGCGGUGAAAUGCGUAGAGAUUAGGAAGAACACCAGUGGCGAAGGCGACUCUCUGGACUGUAACUGACGCUGAGGCUCGAAAGCGUGGGGAGCAAACA